GUGUGGUCUGCGUGCGAGGGGAUUUGGGUUUCGAUUUUUGUGUUUUGAUUUCUGAUCGUGUUUUUCUUCCUCGUUAAUCUGCGUGCGAGGGGAUUUGGGUUUCUACGAUAUUCACAUAAAUGUGGAAGAAGGAAUUGAAUUAGUAUGAUAACUGUCUGUUAGCCUUCUUCGUAUUCGUGCGCGGAUGUUAGUUUUUCUUCUAUGAACGGUUGGAUUUUCUAUAAUUCUGAGAUUUUGGACUGAUGACGUUAUUUCAUUCCGCACGAGAUUGGCUGAUAAAAAUUGGAAGUUCAUGUUUUUGUAGAUUAGAGAAGCAUCACUAUCAUCUGCAGUUUUCGACUUAUAUGCGUUUUGUGUGCGAUAUUCGCUAUGAUCUAGUAGUUGCUUGGCUCUCAAUGAUUUCGUCAUGAUCAUCGGGUAAAUGUCGACAUUCAUCAUUGCAAAUAUGGAUUCAAAUAUUUUUCACUCUUUAUCCCGUCAUCUUGUUCAUCCUACUGAAGGCACGUAUCCCAACAAUUAUGCUUUUCCUUUCUAUUUGCAGAACGUGCUCAACUAUUUCGUAAGUCUUGCAUCCGUUUUGCGUUCAUAGUAUCUCCUUUUAGGUGACUUCUGCUGAAUCUAAUCUGCCUUUCUUUUUUAGAUUUACCAAUUGCUGUCUUGUUCUAAAGUCAUCUGCUGUUUGGUUUUUUCUUAUUCAUAGUCUUACCUCUUUUUUAUGUCAACUAGAUUUUUGUGAAUACGAGACUUGUUAUAUUAGUUCGUAGUUCCCAUAGUUCUGGCUGCUUCUGUUUCACCUUCCCUUUUAACUAUCCUCUUCUCUGUUUCAUUUUUUCUCGCAGUUCUAGUCAUGCUUAUCAUCUACUUCAAAGUUAUGCCUCCGUUCAGUAUGUAUCUAUAGUUUCGUUGUUUUGAUGUGCUUGGUUGCUGUUGGUUUUCAAUUUUUACCCAGUAGUUUGAUUGUGUCAGUGAUUUAGUAUCUCGGGAUUUGAACACUACGUAGUUGAUUUUAAGGACCAUGGUGCACUAUGGCUCUCUAGGACUGUGUUGCACUGUGAGGCUGGAUGAAGGCUGGCUGGGUAUCUUGAGGUUUGACGAACGGACUAAUUUCUAAUUUCUAAUCUCUUUUCAAAUUGGGAGGGUUUUCUUGGUUUCUCUCCUGGGUUCCUUUGCUUGCUGGUGCUGCACAAGCUCAUAUCUCUCUGGAUUUUGCAUUUGCGUGUAUCUUCUUGGUAGAUUAUUCCAGAAUGGAAGAUUUCAUUGAUAAACUUGUAAAGCACAAUUUACUUGGAUUUGUCUGUAUAAGCCCGCUAUCUUCCUAUCUGCAUUCUCCCGUUUGUAGAAUUUGCAUUUGCAAGGUGAAUGAUAUUGCUGGAAGAUAUCAAAAGGUUGAACACUCAUGGGCUGGGGAAACCAUACAGAGUUGUAACCUGUUCUGGUGUUAUCUCUAUCCUAUCAGCUUUUGAUCUAUUUGCACUUUUAAGGAUAUAUGCCUUAUGGUCUUCUUUUAUGGUGUACUUCAGCAAAGAAAUUUGAAGCAAAUAUCAUGUUGGCUGGGCAGCUGAGUUCCUUAUCUUUAUGUUUUUCCUCACCAACUUUGUUUCAUUUUUAUAAAACAAACAUGCUAUUGUGUCUUAACUUGUGCUGAUGUUGCUGCAAUGAAGAUGUGAUUUUGCUAAAGCUGCUUUGGUUUUGAGUUGAUUUUCAAUGUGGACUAUGGCUCCUCCUUGCACGGGUGGGAUAUUUGGGAAAUGAUGAAGACUGGGUGCCUCAAGGCUGUCCUUCCAAAUGUUGCUGCAUGUCCUUGUUGGUGACUUUUUUGGGUGGUCUGGGCAUUCCGUGGUUCUUUUCCUGGGUUCUCUUGCUGGUGGUUCUGCAAAAAAUGACCUUUCUGGGUUUGAGUUGUGCUUUUAUGUUCUUUCGAGCUGUCUUCAUCUUUGCCAUCUGAAACAUUUUGGUCCAUUAUUGCUUUGCUUCCAACAUGUUGUUGAACCUCUUGUGUUAUCCUAGGUGAAGUCUUAUUUAGUGGCUCUUCAUUCAGGACAGAACUCAUUAGGCUUAAUCUGGGUGAUAUAUUUUGUUUAGGAUCAUAUAAAUAAAGAGCAAGCAAUGUGUUGUGGAUCAUUUCUACUGGUUACAUUUGCGUCUGAUUACCUAUUGGAAAAACAGAGUGCUAAAUUUGGUUGGAAAUUUUUAUCGUAAGAGAUUCAGCUGUUGGGAGUACUAAUUGUUGGCAUAGUCUUGAGUUCAUGGUUGGAUUGAAUAUCAUGCUGUCCUGUGUUUGCGUAGGACAGAAGGUACUACAUGAAAAUGAAUUUUAGUCGAACACAUCUAACAAUUAGGCAUGGUCAAAGGCAUUUUAGUUUUUGGGUUUUUAAGUCGAUAUUGAAGAUGUUUCAAUUGAGUUCUUCUUUGUCAGAUCUUAUUUUACGUGGAGUUAGUGUGUUCCCGUUGUCACUUCUGUAAAAUGUUACUGGUCUCCUUUUCUUUUGAGGUGGUGUUGGUUUAAUAGUCUUAUUCAUCUCUUGCUUGAGAUGCUAUGGAUGAUGAAAGCCUAACGUCUUGCAGAUUAAAUGAAGAACCUUGUGCUGCCAUCUCCUCACUUAUUUGACCGAUCAUCUUAUUCAUCUAUCUGAAUAUUUGUAGCAUAUAUUGUUACUUAUUCUCUAUCUUUUCACUAAUAUAUGUUUAUGGAGAACAUAUGGAAUUAGUAGAUAGCUUUUUGUCCGUUCGUUAAGCUAUUUAUCUAUUUGGAAAGACACUAGAAUAGUAAGAGAGUCAUUUAUUCUCAUCUUGAAUAAUUAGUGUGUAUAUAGGCGAGGGAUCAUAGUAAGCGCGCCUUUGGAGCACCUUAGUAUCCUUAAUUGCAUAAGCUUAACUUAAAACAUAAAGCUGCAUGAUGUUGCACACGAAACUCAUAUGAAUUCAAUGCAUACAUUCAUUAACGUUACUUAUAUGCAUGUAAUGCAAUUUUCAAAAGAUGCAUGAUUAUAUAUAUGUUUUUGUAUUGCUGUAUAGCCAAACGUGCAUAGCUAAUAUUGUACUACGUGAGGGAAGGGUAACCUGAUCUUGAUCUUGUAUGUAUAUAUGGAAAAGAGAGUACCAAAACAUAGUCCCAUAACUUUUUAGCUAUCUGUCUCAUACCUAAUUGUGUUCUUGGAGGGUCAAAUUUGUGUUCAGUACUUUUUUUGGCAAUGAGAUAUCGUGACAUAUUGUCUGUUAUGUUUGCUUGCAUUCUUACAGACGGUCCUCCAUUUUUGGUUCUGUACUUCAAGCCUGAGUAACUAGUUUUGCUUGUGGAUGGAAUAUUACUGCUGUCGCUCGUUAAGCUUUGCAUUGCGUCUCUGAUAUGUUCUUGUUGUGUAUCUUAUAUCUAUUGUUGGGGAUUCUGGGCUUGGAUGCUGUGAAGUUACUAUUUUUACCAGAGUGGAAUAUAUUACAGUCGCUAUCUUGACCUGCACGGAUUAUAUUUGGAUUGGUUGGCAUGCACUCUACAUAGGCUUCUGUCUACUUUUCAUUUUUUUUAGUAUCCCUUGCUGAUUGCUGUUGCAAGUUGAUUUGCUGGAAGAAGUGAAUACGUCGACAGGACAUGACAAUGGCUUUCUUUCGUGUUAUCUGUUCUUCUCAGCUUUUGAUUUGCAGCCCUAUUCAAGUUAUAAGUUCUUUUGGUGUCUUCGUCUCCAAUGCUUUUUGAAUUUAGAAUUACUGCUGCUUAUGAAAUGAACAGAGGGGCAUUGAGAGGUUGAUAUCUUUAUGCCAGUUAUCUGUGCCAUAGUAGCUAAAAGUGCACUAAAAGCCUAAAUGGUAUAUGUACUUCUGGGUGGAGAUAUGUGCUUACAAAGUGAGACAAAGGUCCUAACAAGUUGUGAAGCAGUAGAAGACACUCUGAGUCUUUCAGAUCUACUAUUUGAUUAUGAUUUUGGUCUAUGUUAUAAUGCCUAUUCUUGCCGGUGUUAUCCUGUAUAGUAGUCGGUCCUUUUUACCAAUGAGGAGUAGACUGGUGCUCAGAUAUGGCUCUGUUACAGUUCACGUUGCAUUCAUCUUGUUGAUUAGUUAAAAUUACGGUUUGUCUGGAAAUCUUGAUGUGUCCUCAUGGCAGCAGGUGUGUUUUUGAUUCUUUAUGAUUAUUGCAACAUUGUGAUGCCAACCGUGGUAGGCGUUUUGAUUGGUCCCACUUUGUCGUUUAGAGUUUUGUUCAAUUUCCCUGUUUAGUUUCGCAUAGAUUAGUAACUUGUGUAACUUCGCCUGUGGCGCAUGCUUGGCCACAGCCGGUCCCAAGCCCGGGUAAAAGGAGGAGGGGCAAGUUAUUAGGUUCAUUUGCCAGUGAUUUUUACUGAGUCGAGGAAGUGGCGGAUAGGGGUAGGGGGGCUACAGUUCCCCUCAAUUUUUAAUUUUUCUUUUUAAUAUAUAUAUGAAUUCCAUUCCGAGCACCUGCAUUACCAUAUCCGCGGUGGCCACCGCAAGGGGCAGCCGCUGCAUUGAGCAUGCUGGGCAGCAGUCACCACCACCGUUGGCCGCCUGGCUUCUUCCACCACUGUGUGAGGUAGAAUGUAAUUUGUGAUUCAAAUCUAUUGUUAAUUUGACCACGAAUAGAAAUAAUUAGUUCAUAUAUUUUUAAGUUAUUUAUAAUAUAUUGAAAUCAAAUUGUUGUUUGUUAGGGUAAACUA